rnacentral:rRNA from 1 species
GACGAACGCUGGCGGCGUGCCUAAUACAUGCAAGUCGCACGAGUGGCGGACGGGUGAGUAAUGUCUGGGAAUGUGCCUGGUGGAGGGGGAUAACUACUGGAAACGGUAGCUAAUACCGCAUACCAUCGGAUGUGCCCAGAUGGGAUUAGCUAGUAGGUGGGGUAAAGGCUCACCUAGGCGACGAUCCCUAGCUGGUCUGAGAGGAUGACCAGCCACACUGGAAAUGAGACACGGUCCAGACUCCUACGGGAGGCAGCAGUGGGGAAGAUUGCACAAUGGGCGCAAGCCUGAUGCAGCCAUGCCGCGUGUAUGAAGAAGGCAUUCGGGUUGUAAAGUACUUUCAGUGGGGAGGCGUUACCCGCAGAAGAAGCACCGGCUAACUCCGUGCCAGCAGACGCGGUAAUUC